GACGAACGCUGGCGGCGUGCUUAACACAUGCAAGUCGAACGGAAAGGCUCCAGCUUGCUGGAGUACUCGAGUGGCGAACGGGUGAGUAACACGUGGGUAAUCUGCCCUGCACUCUGGGAUAAGCCUGGGAAACUGGAUCUAAUACUGGAUAUGACCUUUCUCCUUAUGGGGUUUGGUGGAAAGUUUUUCGGUGUAGGAUGAGCCCGCGGCCUAUCAGCUUGUUGGUGGGGUGAUGGCCUACCAAGGCGACGACGGGUAGCCGGCCUGAGAGGGUGAUCGGCCACAUUGGGACUGAGAUACGGCCCAGACUCCUACGGGAGGCAGCAGUGGGGAAUAUUGCACAAUGGGCGGAAGCCUGAUGCAGCGACGCCGCGUGAGGGAUGACGGCCUUCGGGUUGUAAACCUCUUUCAGCAGGGACGAAGCGUAAGUGACGGUACCUGCAGAAGAAGCACCGGCUAACUAUGUG
rnacentral:rRNA from 1 species